UACAGGGGGGGGCAAGCGUUGUUCGGAAUUACUGGGCGUAAAGGGCGCGUAGGCGGCCUUCUAAGUCGGACGUGAAAGCCCCAGGCUUAACCUGGGAACUGCGUCCGAGACUGGCAGGCUUGAAUCCGGGAGAGGGAUGUGGAAUUCCUGGUGUAGCGGUGAAAUGCGCAGAUAUCAGGAGGAACACCGGUGGCGAAGGCGGUUCUCUGGGAAUGUGACUGACGCUGAGGAGCGAAAGUGUGGGGAGCGAACAGG
rnacentral:rRNA from 1 species